GCCAGUGURAUSGAMWSYSCRURWUUCSCCCUWGARUUUGAUUCUGGCUCASAUUGAACGCUGGCGGCAUGCCUUACACAUGCAAGUCGAACGGCAGCACGGGGGCAACCCUGGUGGCGAGUGGCGAACGGGUGAGUAACGCAUCGGAACGUGCCCAGUAGUGGGGGAUAACCAGUCGAAAGAUUGGCUAAUACCGCAUACGACCUACGGGUGAAAGCGGGGGACCGUAAGGCCUCGCGCUAUUGGAGCGGCCGAUGUCUGAUUAGCUAGUUGGCGGGGUAAGAGCCCACCAAGGCGACGAUCAGUAGCUGGUCUGAGAGGACGACCAGCCACACUGGGACUGAGACACGGCCCAGACUCCUACGGGAGGCAGCAGUGGGGAAUUUUGGACAAUGGGCGCAAGCCUGAUCCAGCCAUGCCGCGUGCGGGAAGAAGGCCUUCGGGUUGUAAACCGCUUUUGGCAGGAACGAAACGGCGAUUCCUAAUACGAGUCGUUAAUGACGGUACCUGCAGAAUAAGCACCGGCUAACUACGUGCCAGCAGCCGCGGUAAUACGUAGGGUGCAAGCGUUAAUCGGAAUUACUGGGCGUAAAGCGUACGCAGGCGGCUUUGCAAGACAGGUGUGAAAUCCCCGGGCCUAACCUGGGAACUGCAUUUGUGACUGCAUGGCUAGAGUCUGUCGGAGGGGGGUGGAAUUCCACGUGUAGCAGUGAAAUGCGUAGAGAUGUGGAAGAACACCGAUGGCGAAGGCAGCCCCCUGGGAUGAGACUGACGCUCAUGUACGAAAGCGUGGGGAGCAAACAGGAUUAGAUACCCUGGUAGUCCACGCCCUAAACGAUGUCUACUAGUUGUCGGAGGGUAACUCCUUCGGUAACGCAGCUAACGCGUGAAGUAGACCGCCUGGGGAGUACGGUCGCAAGAUUAAAACUCAAAGGAAUUGACGGGGACCCGCACAAGCGGUGGAUGAUGUGGAUUAAUUCGAUGCAACGCGAAAACUUACUACCCUUGA
rnacentral:rRNA from 1 species